rnacentral:lncRNA from 1 species
AUGAGAGUUCCUGAAACCAGUGAAUGUGAUGCAGAGCUGUGCUGGCUGUGUCAGAUUGCCCUCAAAGCCCUUGCUUGGCAGAGGGCUGAUUGCUCCAUGGUUUUACUCAAGGGAGCCAUGUCCAAGAUCUUCUUCCCGUGGUUUCCUUUGGUUGCUGCAUUUGCUGUCUCUGCCAAGCAGUGGUUGCACAAGAAAUGGAUCCUGUGGGGGUCUCCAUGGGAGGGUAUGGGGUUGCAAAGCUGCUUGGGUGCUCCUGUGAUAUGUACAUUGUCCUUGGCAGCACCCAAAUUUUAUUAUGGGAGCAGAUGUUCUUAUUGCCCCUACCCUGGAGCCUUCUGCAAAGUGUGAGCUGGGGAGUCCUACCCUGAUGACGUGGACAGCUCUGGGUGCACUGCAUAAGCUCUCUCCACAGCCUGUCUUCUGCUGGGAAUGGGGAAGGAUUAUUUGCUACACUGUGCUAUGGGGAGGGGGUGGAGGGGAAAUCACAACUACGUGUGUAGCGAGCAGGCAGCAGAGCACAGAGCUGCCUGUUACUAUUGGCAGUUACCUUCUUCACUGGCUGCAUAUGUCAGAGCAUGGCUGCUGAAAGGAAAUGCUCUUAAACCUGGGACAUAAAUAAUGGUCAGGACACAGUGCUGCUUGAAGGCUGCCCCUGGCGUUAAGCUUGGCCUUGUUGCACAGUACCAUAGCAGGGAUGGUCGUCUGCACAGAGAUCCUGCCGGGCUCAGUCAUGAUCUGUGUCCAUGAAAAUGCAUCCUAUGGCAGUGGCAGCUUAGCAGAGCCAGCUCUCUGCCUCUUUCCCUUCCUUAUUGCUUUCCCUAUGGGCUGAGCUCCCAUGCUGCCUUGCCUUAGCUGCAGCCAGCCCAAUCUCUGGCCAUUGUGGGAGAAGAUGGAGCACCCCCUGGGAGAGAGGUGCUUUGUACUGCAGUGGCACACCUUGGUAGAGCACAAGGAAGAUGUAAACAAAAGCCUUGGGGAUAGCCCAAAGCAAACUGCUGUCAGACAGUGGCACAGUGGUGUUAUGUGGCACCAGGGUCAUCCCCAGCUUACACCAGGAUGAUUACCAGGCCCCUCCAGGACAUUGCCAGGGCACGAGUGUUGGCAGGGAGCACAAUAUGGCCAAGUUGCCUUCCGACCUCUCAACUGAGGCAUGGAGGUGGGGUGGCAAAGGUAGAGGAAUAGGGAGAGAAGCUGGCCAAACUGGUCAGCUCUGGAAAUCAGCAACACUUUUGUCUCCUUCAGGGCUGCUGGUCAUGAAAACUAGCAAUAUGACAAAUGCCAAGUGUUGGGGCUAUCUCUGGACAGCUCAGGCCAUGCUCUUUACUAACACUCCCCACCCCACACAUAU